rnacentral:lncRNA from 1 species
UACAUAUCAUGACAUACAUAAUGGAUCCCACUGUCAAAGCAUAUAGAAUUUUACUCAUACGCACUCUCUUUUGAGUUGUCAGAUAAUCUCUCUUUGAAAGAGAAAUUCUAUGACUUAUCGAAAGAUAGCCUUUCUUGAAAUUCUCUAUGUGAACCGUUUUAGCACAUAUCAAUGUAUGUGGACUGGGAUAACUAAAGCAACUUCUUAGAUCUAUCUCUAUAGA